CAGAAACAACCAGACCGCUCAGAAGAGAGGAGAAAGGCUGAAAGUUCACUUUUAAUGGUUGAAGUCCGUCCAAAAGGGACGUUCACUGAACAUUUCUGGAUAAUCCCAAAGGAAACACAAUGCAAAACUGAAGAACUUAAGUAUCUAUCAGUUUAUUCCUUUGGUUACUGUGGUUACGUAGAAGUACCUGAUGGGAUGCUGAAAGAGACAGACACCUACGUUGGCCGUGGGACACUUCUACAUUGAAGAUACUUUUUUAAAUGAAGAUUAUGACUCUGAUGUUUUUGCCGUGCUUGAUGCUGUUGCUCGGCACCACAGAAAGUGUGGUAGAGAUGUGCAGGGGGACGCACUGUUUCGGCAGAGAGGACUGGACCGGACCGUGUACAGGGCCACACUGCCCGAGGCGCACAGACGCGGCGUCCCCACGCAACGGUCCCUCAGCGGCCGACCGCCAGCAGUUUGCUAAGCCUUUUUACCAGGACGCCCAGAGUAACCCUCAGCCCAGGAGUCCGCUGGUACCUUACACGGUCAUUCAGCCCCAGCGCGACACGCGGAAAGCCAACCCGAGGACCGUCACCGCGGAGGUGUACCACCCGGCGUGUACCGGAGGGAAUUGCCGAGAUUCCCAGCCGCGACCUAUCAGGACCGAGGAAUGCAAGGGGAUCGAAUGCAAGCUACCGCUCAGGAUGCGAGCGAAGCCAAAAACCCGGCAGUGCCCGGGCGACGGCUGUCUUGCUGAUGGCGGGGAAGACGCGAAAGGGCAACGGACCCCCUUGGUUCGCGACAGAGCGGCGCAGUCUCUCGGGGAACUUCCAGACUUUGGAACAGAACGUGACACAUCGCAUCUGGGGAUACAGUUGACAUGUGAUCUCAAAUCAGGCAACAACGAGGUCCCUUCCGAGGAGGCCCUGGUGUUGCACCUGCGACUGGCCAAGGGCCAGGAGAAACUGGUGGAGGCCCUGAGGAGUCAGCAGGACGAGAUCCGAGAGCUCCAGCACAGACUGAGCGAGCAGCAGGGGACGCUGGCCAGCCAGCAGAGAGAGAUGCUGGAGCAGCAGAGCAGAAUGUACCAGCAGAUGGAUCAGGUCAAGGCACAGUAUGGCCUGCUCCUGGAGAGUGUCAAGCAGGUGUCCUUCCAGGGCAUUCACAGCCAGCUGGAGAGCCAUGUGUUGAGCCAACGAGGCCAGACCAGGGUCCCCAGCCCCCAGGCCUACGCUGUACACAAGGUGGACGUGGAGGCCAGCGUGAUGGAGGUGGAGCGACCCGCAUGCGGCGCCUGUGGCGCGGAGGAGUACUGCCACCUCGGGACUGGCCUGCCGCGGUGUGAGAGGUGCACCGUCUGCCCGCCGGGCUUCUUCCUGGUGUCCCAGUGCUCCGUAUACGCCGACAGGAUAUGCCAGGACAGGGAUGAGUGCCUUGAAAUAUCAAACCUUUGUGGGCAACAGGAGAAAUGUCUGAACACUCCAGGCGGAUUCAGAUGCCAGGGCUUGUCUGAGAGAGAGGCCAGCACAGGCUUUUGUGGACACGCCUACUUCUACAACGCUGAGAUGGAGGAGUGCCAGGCCUGUCAGGACUGUGAGCUGGAGCAAGUGGCCAAACCCUGCACCUUCACGAGUGACACCGUCUGCUCCGCCCCCUCCCCCACUGACAGCAGCAGGCUGUCCCUGGCCUGGGCCGGGGAUGUGACCCUGCCCCCCGCCAAGGGCCACGCCCCUGGCCACGCCUUCCCCAACAUGCAUCUCUACAUUCAGGCCCGAGGAGAGAGCGAGCUGCUCUCCACUGAGGAUGGCGGCCUGGUGCUGCGACACCACGGCCUGGUCUGGGCUGACGAGAACCUGGCCCUUAACCACGGCUGCCGCAGUUUCGUCCAGGUUUGCCUGCGGCUCAAUGCCAGCGACCGGGCCGAGGGGCGGGACCUAAGCGGGAUCAGGGUGGAGCAGCGCGAGGUUAAGACGCUCCAAAGUGCAUUGAUCAGUGGCGUGGCAGAAGUUGCUCCGGGGAGCACACUCUCCUUGCUCCUCCGGAGUGCCAGUCACCACUGCAACCACACCAGUGACGGCCUGCACAUCCACGACCCCCUGGCGCCUCCCCUCAGCCUCCUCUGGCUGUCACACGACACCGGGGCAGUUGCUAUGACGGCGCAGGCAGUCUCGUCGGCACACUACCACAACAACUACCGGCCCGCCUUUAAGACCACGUCCACCUCCGACCCGUACGUGGUGGGGCUGACGCAUGACGGGCGCGGAGUGCGCUUCACCGAAAGCGGCACGGUGCGCUUCGUGUUCCAGCAGGCACUCUACUCCAUGGGCCAGGCGUGCGUGACCGAAGGCCUCCAUCUCCUGGCCUACGUAAACCGCAACGGGAGCAGCGUGGAGCUGGCGCGUACCUUCAAGACGGGCGUCCACUACCGCGACACGUCCAUCUCCCUGUCGGCCGCAACCGGUGUGGGUCCCGGUGACACCCUGGGCUUUGAGAUCCUCUCCCCGGGACAGUGCAACAUCCGCUACUUCGGCGACGACUCCGGGAUCAGCGCUCUCAGCCUGGUGUGGGUCCCCGCCGCCAUUUCCUCAGCCGUCUCCGUCUCCGUGGCGCGCACAGGCUUGCCCGCCGGAGCCGUGCGCAACAAGCCCCUGUACUUUUGCCAGGUCACGCCUACCGUGCUGCAGGUGCAGGUCGGGUUUCCGGGGAAGGUCCGUGCGGAACAGGGACGCGAGUUCGUCUUCACGGAAAGCGGAACUGCCAACUUGGCACUGGACCUGAAACUGAUACACUCCUGCAGCCAGGUUAAAGUCACGUUACUCCGGCGUGAAGGCGAACGGGAGGAGGGGAAACCGGUCCUUCUGGCCCAGCAGGUCGGAGGGCCGAUGCCGGAAGGAAGCGAGUGGACCAGCGUGGGUCUGAGAGCUUCCUUUCAGGUUCAGAAUGGAACGAUGGUUUUUGUCACAUUGGAUUGCGUUCGUGGUCGUGUCAACCAGAUCAGCCACCAGGCAGGAAGUGGAGUCUCGAUACUAUGGGUGGCUGCGUAGCAUCAGUCUAGAUCUACUCAAUUAAUGCUCUAGGUGGCACCAUAGCAUUACCGUAGUGACGACAAAAUAAUAAUACCAUAAUACUUUGCUAACAUACAGCAGUUCUUACGCAUCUUUCAGUGCCCUUUGAUCAAUUCAGUUGGCCAACUUUAGCAUGGUUUUCAUUAAAGCUCAAUUCCAAAACCGUAAAGCAAAAAAUGUAAUAACUUAUAGUAGACCAAAAAGAUGUUGGUGAGUAGCAGGUUUAUGGUCUUCAAUACAGAUAGUCUUGUACUAUAGUACUUUAUAAUACUCUGACUCUACAGUGACGCUAGAAAUAGAAUUGCUUUUCAACAUUUCUUAGUAUGAAACUUUGUUGAAGUAGAAAUUUGGUUUGUGCAUAUUUUGAUACUGUUAUAUUGUACAUAAUUGAGUUACUGUAUUGAUGCCAGUGUUUUAUAUCAGAUAGUUGUUGUUACAUUUUAAAUCUCUGCUGUCAACAACGAAGAUUGUUCUGGGCUGGUUUUACUCUGAAGUAUGUUCAAAGCAUAUGUUUCAGGUUAUUUGCCGCUUUCUGCAUGCUUUAUUUAAUGACCAUUGUCAGGACAUCCUUGGCUAUGUACAAAGCAGUUUGUACAUUCUUGUAUGGAAGUCCACUUGUGUUAGACAGUUGCAAAGAAGCUUGUCAUUUUAACUUGGAAACUGUAAGUAAUAUAAGUAUAUAUAUAUAUAUAUAUAUAUAUAUAUAUAUAUAUAUAUAUAUAUAUAUACACAUAUAUAUAUAUAUAUAUAUACUUAAAAAAAUAUAUAUAUAAUUUUCACAGAAUUUUUUUUUUUUAAUUCU
ensembl:lncRNA